GUCGGGAUGGCCGAGCGGUCUAAGGCACCAGACUCAACAUCUGGCGUCUUCUAUGAGAGCGUGGGUUCGAACCCCACUCGUGACA